GGUAAAGUAGUUUAUUCAAAAACUUUUGACUGUUACUCAAAUAAUAGGUUUAUACUUCCUUUUUGCCG
rnacentral:tRNA from 1 species